ensembl:snRNA U6 U6 spliceosomal RNA
GUUACUUCUGUAGCACGUGUCCUUAUUCGUACGAUACAGAGAAGAUUAGCAUGGUCCCUGCGCAAGGUUGACACGCAAAUUUGCGAAGCGUUCCUCUUUUUU